GUGCCAGCCGCCGCGGUAAUACGUAGGAUGCAAGCGUUAUCCGGAAUUACUGGGCGUAAAGCGUGUGUAGGUGGUUUGUUAAGUAAAAUGUUAAAUCUUCAGGCUCAACUUGAAGACUGCAUUUUAUACUGGCAGACUUGAGGAUGGAAGAGGUAAGCGGAAUUACAGGUGGAGCGGUGAAAUGCGUAGAUAUCUGUAGGAACACCAAUGGCGAAGGCAGCUUACUGGGCCAUUCCUGACACUGAGACACGAAAGCGUGGGGAGCAAACAGGAUUAGAUACCCUGGUAGUCCACGCCGUAAACGAUGAUCACUAGCUGUUCGAGGUGUCGACCCCUUGAGUAGCGAAGCUAACGCGUUAAGUGAUCCGCCUGGGGAGUACGGUCGCAAGACUAAA
rnacentral:rRNA from 1 species